GACGAACGCUGGCGGCGUGCUUAACACAUGCAAGUCGAACGAUGAACCUCGAAAUGAUUUCUUCGGAAAGAUUUUUGAGAGGAUUAGUGGCGAACGGGUGAGUAGCGCGUGAGCAACCUGCCUUAGACAAGGGGAUAGCCUCGGGAAACCGUGAUUAAUACCCUAUGAGACUCCACUUACGAGUGUAAGAGAAGUUAAAGCUAUUGCGGUCUAAGAUGGGCUCGCGUCUGAUUAGCUAGUUGGUGAGAUAAAAGCCCACCAAGGCGACGAUCAGUAACCGGCUUGAGAGAGUGAACGGUCACAUUGGAACUGAGACACGGUCCAAACUCCUACGGGAGGCAGCAGUGGGGAAUAUUGCACAAUGGGGGCAACCCUGAUGCAGCGACGCCGCGUGAGCGAUGAAGGAAUUCGUUUCGUAAAGCUCUGUCCUUGGAGAAGAUAAUGACGGUAACCAAGGAGGAAGCACCGGCUAAAUACGUG
rnacentral:rRNA from 1 species